AGCUCUUUGCGACAUCAAAAGCCGACUGCAAAAAUAAAGAUUGGUUUUAUGAUUCGACUCUUUUUUUGGGAAAACAAAUCAGAAGCUUCUUAAUGUAGUUAUUGAUGGGAGCGAGGGACAUUGACAAUCCCAUGCAAGAAACAACCAGACAUGUUUCUUCUGUAGGAUGGACGACCUAUCCCAGCAAUGGUCAUCGAUGAAGAGGAGAAGAGAAUUCUUCUACCAAAUAUAUCCAAGCACUUGGCCCACAAGUGUCAUUAAAAGCAUGAGAGAAAUGAAGGCUUUUGAUCUUAUUAGAUGGGCUACAAUUAGACCCAAAAGAAACACAACUUUAUAGCUAAAUAAUAAACAAAUUUUGACUGUC